rnacentral:rRNA from 1 species
UACGUAGGGUGCAAGCGUUAUUCGGAUUUAUUGGGCGUAAAGGGCGCGUAGGCGGGGAAGUCAGUCAGAUGUGAAAUCCCGGAGCUCAACUCCGGAACAGCAUUUGAAACUGCUUCUCUAGAGGGUAGGCGGAGAAAACGGAAUUCCACAAGUAGCGGUGAAAUGCGUAGAUAUGUGGAAGAACACCAGUGGCGAAGGCGGUUUUCUAGCUUACACCUGACGCUGAGGCGCGAAAGCAAGGGAAGCAAACAGG